CGGUCUUAUUGGUCAAAGUGGGACGAUGGAUUACACAGGGGCCAAUCGGGAGGCAAAGCUGUGCGGCGGGGCGAAGGAGUUCCCUCCGGCUGGAAGCCAAGUGCAGCUAAAGGUCCCGAGGGAGGGUUUUAAUUAGGAAGAACCCUCUAUUCUACAGCUUCAGUUGGAAUAUUCUGAAGGAGACGUCUGCCACUACCCCAUCCCUUUCUUCAGAGAUUGCUCUCCUCCUGAACAUGUCAGCCUGGACCACCGCAAGCAACACAGCCAAGAGGAGGAGAGACCCGGGAGGAAGGCUGCGGGUGCUGGAAGCCUAGACUGAUGAACUGAGAUGUGUCCUUGGCUCUCAGAAGCAUUCAGCCCAACAUGAAGAUCAGAUCUGAGAAUAAACCACCAACAAGUUAUGGCAAAAUGCCUGCCUGUCCUGCUUGCCCAGGACCUUUGCACACGCUGUCUCCCCUGCCUGGUUCACUCUGCCUCUCCGUCCUGCUCAGCUAACACCUUCCUGAGGUGUCCAUUCCACUCUCAGAGCUCCUCUCUGUUGUCUCACUACACACCCAGUGUCUCCCUGCUGAGUUCCUUGACAUCUUCACGGCUCACCUCUGUCCUCAUCCCCCUGAGGAUGUGAGUGGGCACGUUCUCCAUAUGGGGAGCCUCUGUGUGGAUAAAGGCCUUGGAUUACGUGGGGGAGUGUUCUACCUUCAUAGGUAGCUCUGUUGGGGUAACAAGACCACACAGAACAGGGCAGCUUGAUCGUUACUGUGCCUCAUUCCUCUCUUCCACAAGACCUAGCUUAAGCAAAGUUCAUGUGAAAAUUUAUGUGUGUGUGAAGCCUAGCCUUUCCAAAGCCUUGAUGGAACUUAGAAGCAGUAAAGUGACUUCAUCCACUGGUUAUAUGAAGUGAGGUACUGGGUCCAGGUACAGGGAGGUGACAGGUCUGCCAGAGAACUGUUGGUCUUGACUUCUUGUACACACCAAGUAUAAACCACGCUGUUACUAAAGUCCCAUCUUCCCCAUUAUCAGUGUUUCCGUCAUGAAAGCAUCUUGAACAUAU